rnacentral:rRNA from 1 species
UACGUAGGGGGCUAGCGUUGUCCGGAAUCAUUGGGCGUAAAGAGCGUGUAGGCGGCCCGGUAAGUCCGCUGUGAAAGUCGGGGGCUCAACCCUCGAAUGCCGGUGGAUACUGUCGUGCUAGAGUGCGGAAGGGGCUACUGGAAUUCUCGGUGUAGCGGUGAAAUGCGUAGAUAUCGAGAGGAACACCUGCGGCGAAGGCGGGUAGCUGGGCCGACACUGACGCUGAUGCGCGAAAGCCAGGGGAGCGAACGGG